GACGAACGCUGGCGGCGUGCUUAACACAUGCAAGUCGAGCGGUAAGGCCCUUUCGGGGGUACACGAGCGGCGAACGGGUGAGUAACACGUGGGUGACCUGCCCUCAGCUCUGGGAUAAGCCUGGGAAACCGGGUCUAAUACUGGAUAUGACUCCAUGACGCAUGUUGUGGGGUGGAAAGCCUUGUGCGGCUGAGGAUGGGCCCGCGGCCUAUCAGCUUGUUGGUGGGGUGAUGGCCUACCAAGGCGACGACGGU
rnacentral:rRNA from 1 species